GCCUGAAUCAGCACAGACCCAGAGCCCCAAAGGGCAUCAGCUCAUCACAUCAGACAGGCCUUCACACUACCGUCGUUUAUCACAUCAGACCGGCCUUCACACUAUCGUUGUAGCUGUGCUGGCUUUGUAAUUUGUUGCACUAAAAUAUUGCACACUUCUGUUCUAAAACCAGGAAGAAUUUGAGUGAUGCUAGAAUGGCCUCUGUAAUGAAGUGUUUUCAGUUAAUUCAAAAUAUGUGUGAAGGUGUUAAGUAUUUCUUUGAGACCCAUGCCCACCUCAAGAUCUCCCUCCAGGAGGCCUGUAUUUUCAGUUACGAUCUGUGCGCAGAAAAGCAGCUGCCAUGGAAGGACAGCAGCCGUGUGGAGCAAGAGCCGGGAACACCUGCACCCUGCCUCUCCCUGCCAUGGGCUCCGUGCUCCUCUGCUGUGUGGCCUUUGGUCUCUUGGGAACAGGCUCCAUGGAUUCUGGUGUGACCCAGACCCCAAGGAACAGAAUCACAAAGACAGGAAUGAGCGUUUUGCUGGAAUGUUCUCAGACUAAGCGUCAUGAUGCUAUGUUCUGGUAUCGAGAGGACCCAGGGCACGGGCUCCGGCUGGUCUACUACUCCUUGGAUGUCAACUAUACCAACAGAGGAGAGGUCUCCAGUGGGUAUAGCGUCUCCCGGCGGGAGCAGGCAAAAUUCUCCCUGCGCCUGGAGACUCCCACCCCCAACCAGACAGCGCUUUACUUCUGUGCCAGCAGUAAAUUGCACAGUGGUUCUUGGCCACCUGCUCUCACCACAGAAAGACAGGCACGUUUCCUCAGGAGGGCAUGGAAGGCUUCCUAG